rnacentral:lncRNA from 1 species
GCUUAUGUUAAGAUGCUGUUACAGAAUUUGGCUUUUGAAAUCUUGACUCCUGAUGACUGGAAAUCUAUAGCAAGGGUAUGCCUAGAACCUGGACAAAAUUACAUUUGGCUUUCUGAAUAUAGUGAUUUCUGUAGGAUACAAGCCCAAUAAAAUAGUCAAAAUGCUGUUCGUGCUGCGAUCACCUAUGACCUACUACAAGGUAUAGGUCCAUAUGCAGACAUCACAGCACAGAUAAAUUAUUCAGUAGCAGCAUAUGAGCAAAUUGCUACUAAUGCUAUCAAAGCGUGGGCUUCGAUUCACAAUAAAAACGACAAAGGUGAGGCCUUCACAAAAAUAAUGCAAGGGCCAGAUGAACCCUUUGCUGACUUUGUGGGACGUUUGCAGACUGCUAUCACAAGAACUAAUGGGGAAAAUCCAACAACAGAUGUUUUAAUAAGGCAACUUGCUAAGGAAAAUGCUAAUGAGGUGUGCAGAAGAAUUAUACUAGGACUGCGCAAGGAUGCUCCUUUAGAGGAGUUCAUAAGACGUUGUGCCACAGUAGGCACAAAUGCCUUUUAUAGUCAGACUAUGAUGCAGACUUCCCAAGAUCCCAACAUGGGUAGACAGGGUCCCUUCCGGCAAGGGACUUCUAGAGAGACACAUCAAUGCUUUCAGUGUGGUAAAGUAGGGCAUCUGAAAGCUCAAUGUUGGUUCAUAGAGGCAGAGUGAGAAAACAGGGUGGGAGAACAAGACCCAGUACCCCAUGUCCAAAAUGCAACAGAGGCUUCCAUUGGGCCUCAGAAUGUAGACAGGUUCAGGGAAACGGGAUGAGGGGCCCAGCCCAGGCCCCAGGCCAAAAACACUUGGGGCAUGAUGGCAGCCAAUGGUGCACCCAGAGAGUGCCUAGACGGCCAAUACCCCAAUAUGACCAAUCAGCCAGGAAGCCAUAUGAUGGCAGAAAGGGAUUACACAAUCAAUCAGCCAGGAAGCAACCUUAUGGGAGAAAGGGAUUACAAUUAGGGAGAAUAGAGUUGUAUGCAGCUGAGACAACUGAGAUACCCUUGGAGAGGUGAAAUCUGUUCCUUUCCAGCCUAUGGAUCCCUUGUCUCCAGGCACAGUAGGCCUGACCAUUUUACCUCCUGAGAGUACGUACAAAACAGUGUCCAUUCACAUACUGAUGUGGGAAACUGGGGAAUGUGUAGAUAAUAUCCCAGUCACCAAUACAGGCAGACAAUGGGACUUAUCAC